GAUCCUGGCUUAGGAUGAACGCUGGCGGCGUGCUUAACACAUGCAAGUCGAGCGAAGCACUUAAGAAUGAUUCUUCGGAUGAAGACUUUUGUGACUGAGCGGCGGACGGGUGAAGGUAACGCGUGGGUAACCUGCCUCAUACAGGGGGAUAACAGUUAGAAAUGGCUGCUAAUACCGCAUAAGACCACAGUACUGCAUGGUACAGUGGUAAAAACUCCGGUGGUAUGAGAUGGACCCGCGU
rnacentral:rRNA from 1 species